GUACGCUGGCGGCUGCUUACCCAUGCGAAUUUAAGAACGGGUUUAAGUUUAUUACACUUAAAUCAGGUAGCGGACGGGUGAGUAACGCGUAAGAACCUACCUUUAGUAAGGAAUAACUAUUGGAAACGAUAGAUAAUACCUUAUAAGCUUAUAGUAAAAGAUAAAAUCGCCUAAGGAUGGGCUUGCGUCUGAUUAGCUUGUUGGUGAUUUAAAAGAUUCACCAAGGCAACGAUCAGUAGUUGGUCUAAGAGGAUGAUCAACCACACUGGGACUGAGACACGGCCCAGACCUCUACGGAGGGCAGCAGUGAGGAAUUUUCCGCAAUGGGCGAAAGCCUGACGGAGCAAUGCCGCGUGGAGGAUGAAAGCUUGUGAGUCGUAAACUCCUUUUCUUAGUGAAGAAAUAAGACGGUAUCUAAGGAAUAAGCAUCGGCUAACUCCGUGCCCGCAGCCGCGGUAAUACGGAGGAUGCAAGCGUUAUUCGGAAUUAUUGGGCGUAAAGCGUCUGUAGGUAGGUUAAAAAAAGUCUACUGUUAAAUAUUAAAGGCUUAACCUUAAAAAAGCGGUAUGAAACUAAAAAACUUGAGUUUAGUAAAGG
rnacentral:rRNA from 1 species